rnacentral:lncRNA from 1 species
ACCAGCUUUGUUUCAAUACUUUAUCCCAAAUGUGUGAUAGUUAUAGACGUCUUCAAUUUGGGUAAGAAAGAUUCCUGGGUUAACUUUUAUGAGGUGAAAAUGUAUGUUCUUAAGGCAUACAAAGAUACUGGAGCAUUCUUAAUUUGUUCCAUUAUCUUUUAAUUAAAUUGCCCUCUAUUAUCAUUUUGUGAAGUGGAAUUGUGAACUUGUUGGACCAUAGAAUUUGGCAUCCAGUACUUUUGUCAUAAUCACUGCAUCUUCAAUUCAUUUGUCCUUCAGAGCUUAAUCUAUUUUGCUUCCCUAAUUACCAUCUACAGCUGUACCCAGGGUUUGAAACACUUUCGAAAACACAUUUUUCUAAUAUUUUGGCAUCCAAUUGGGACAUCCAAUAGCAUCCAAAAUAUUAUCAGAGAGGGUUCUAAGUAAGAAAUCUAUGUAUAUAUUUUUCUGAUUAUUUUCUUUGUGCCUAUGCACUUUAACUUAGAUUUCAUUUCAUUGUGUGAGCAACAUGUACAUUGGGAAUGACAAUAGUCUCUGUGAUGACCACACAUGGUCCUUGUAAGGGUUCAAUGAAUCAUGCUAUAAGCUUUGUGAAUAGACUUAGAAUACAGUGUCUUCUCUGUAUGUCAGCUCUUCCUAUACUUUUUCUUUGGGUUCUCUACGUGGAAGCUUCACAGGGAUUUUAAAAUGAACAUAUUUGAAACUGAAAUCAUCCCAUUCCCCAAAACUAUUUUCCACGGCCCCAUUCGAGUCUUAACUCAAGAACUGCGUUAUAUCAUCAUAUGUUUCAUAUCAGAAAUCUGAGUGUAGGGAUGUCUGCUAAUUCUUUCUUGGGUGGCCCAUCUAUCAAUGAGCCUCAGAGUUCCCAUCUUGAAAAUAUAUCUUCAUUCUACUCACACUCUUAGGCACCAUCAUCUCUUGGCUGGACUGACACAAUUUAAGAAGUGCUGCUUCUACUUUCAUUCUUAACCACCCUCCACCCUUCUCUUCACAGCAGCCAGAGUCAUUUCUACUCAUGAAUUGGAUGCAGGUUGUUUAAAUGAUAGGUCUUUUAGAGGUUCCAGACAAGCUGGAAAGCAUAUGUGAAUUGAAAAAAAAAAAUACACAUCCAUCCAACUGUGGACCAUUUAAACAGCUCUUAGAAGCCUGCUGUCUCUCAAGAAAAUACAUCAACACAUCUCCUUCCUCUAGGGGAUGAUGGGGAAAUGAAGCACAAUUUUGAGAGACAUUUUAAACACUAAUUACUUCAACCUGUGUCUGUCAUCGUUAAAGCUGCAUUAAUAGAGGCAAAUGAGUUGACAGGUGAUUGCAAAAUAAAAGACUAUUUUAAUAUAAUAUGCAUUAGGAUAUUUUACUUCUGUCUACAUAUUACCAUGCCCCAGGCAAAUUGACUAAGGAGUCACAUUUAACCCUUCAGAAACGCCAGGAAGAAAAUAACAGUAGGCAUUGCAUUUUUAAACCUUUUUAUAAAUGUUUUCCCAGUGAAUACUGUUAUGAUACAAUGUUUUUAAGCAAUUAGGAAUAAAGCAAACUACAUUUUCACCUGCCACAGAAUAUUCUUGUUAUGACUAGUUCUUUUUACCUGAAGCAGCGAAACAAAAAAUAAGGUAAAGAAAAUGCAAACUAGUCCUUAAAUUCUCCCCGUCCACCCUAUUCAUCUAUAGCAGAGGGGUUAAAACCACAUCCUACCUUCUUCUAGUAAUUACCUGUUUGACCUUGACUAAACUCUCAAAUCUUCUAAUGUUUGAGAUCUUCAUCUCCAAAGUGGGGAUGAAAAAAAUCCUCUUACUUCAUUAGGUUAUUAAGCGCAUUGUAAAGUGCCUGGAACAUUGCUUAGCAAAUAAUAAAAUAUAUUUUGCUUUUUAUUACUUCUGUUGUCUUUUUUUCCCCCCAAUGUGUCAAUGCCUCUGUUGCUAGAGGUGAUUAAUUUGAUAAUAAUUAGGGUUUUUUUUGUUUUGUUUUGUUUUUUUUAACCGUUUUUACUCUUCCCACUGUCAAAUGCUAGAUGAAAUACAAAAUCGCAUUGAUAAUGGUGACUUGAUAUGAUUUAAUUCUAAAUAAUAUUCAUGAUCUUUCUCUUUCUGACACAAUGAUAUAGAGCCCCUGAAGUUCAGUUGACCCUUGAGAAGCACUAGUUUGAACGGCAUAAGUCCAUUUAUAUGCAGAUUUUUUUCAAUAAUAAAUAAUACCACACAAUCUGUCAGGAUAUGGGGGAACCACAGAUAUGGAGGGUCAACAAUAAGUUACACUCAGAUUUUUGACUGUGGGAAUGUUGGUGACCUGCACUGUCCAAGGGUCAACUCUACUACUUUAACGGCAUAUAUUGAUUGGACCCUUAAAGCCGUAAAGAGGAUUUAGACACAUCCACAUUGUAUAUUUCUGCCACAUUUCAUUGCC